AUUGAACGCUGGCGGCAUGCUUUACACAUGCAAGUCGAACGGCAGCGCGGGCUUCGGCCUGGCGGCGAGUGGCGAACGGGUGUGUAAUGCAUCGGAACGUGCCCAGUAGUGGGGGAUAGCCCGGCGAAAGCCGGAUUAAUACCGCAUACGACCUGAGGGUGAACGCGGGGGACCGAAAGGCCUCGCGCUCUUGGAGCGGCCGAUGUCGGAUUAGCUAGUUGGUGGGGUAAAGGCUUACCAAGGCGACGAUCCGUAGCUGGUCUGAGAGGACGACCAGCCACACUGGGACUGAGACACGGCCCAGACUCCUACGGGAGGCAGCAGUGGGGAAUUUUGGACAAUGGGGGCAACCCUGAUCCAGCCAUGCCGCGUGCGGGAAGAAGGCCUUCGGGUUGUAAACCGCUUUUGUUCGGGAAGAAAUCCUCUGGGCUAAUACCCCGGGGGGAUGACGGUACCGGAAGAAUAAGCACCGGCUAACUACGUG
rnacentral:rRNA from 1 species